rnacentral:rRNA from 1 species
AGUGAACGCUGGCGGCAGGCCUAACACAUGCAAGUCGAACGGUAGCACGGUAUGAGCUUCCUAUUAGGGGCGGCGAGUGGAGGAAGGGUGCGGAAUGUAUCGGAACCUACUUUUUCAUGGGGGAUAACGUAGGGAAAUUUCCGCUACUAUCUCCUACUAACUACGGGUGAAAGCCGGACCUCUUCGGACCUUGGCCGCUUGUAUGAGACGAUGUCGGAUUAGCUAUGUGGUGGUGUAAAGGCUUACCAAGGCGACGAUCUGUAGCUGGUCUGCGAGGAUGGUGAGCCACACUGGGGCUGAGACACGGACCAGACUCCUACGGGAGGCAGCAGUGGGGAAUGUUGGACAAUGGGCGAAAGCCUGAUCCAGCCAUGCCGCGUGCAGGAUGAAGGCCUUCGGGUUGUAAACUGCUUUUGUACGGAACGAAAAGACUCUUUCUAAUAAAGAGGGGUCAUGACGGUACCGUAAGAAUAAGCACCGGCUAACUACGUG